UUGCCUAACAUGACAACU
rnacentral:snRNA from 1 species